rnacentral:ncRNA from 1 species
GCAAAACCGUUGAGAAAGAGGAGUAAGCUUUAAAAGAAAUCACAGAGAGCGGCAGGUGGUGAGAUUGCCGUAUGGAUUUUUCUGCUGAAUGGACUUUCGAGGGCAGUCCGAAAUGAAAAGAGUAGGCGCUGCCGGGAACCGAACCCGUUAUCAAUCAGGAGCGUAUGUUAGUACGUGAGAAAGUGGGCGAACUGCCAAAUUGAGUGGUACCGCGAUAAUAAAGAUUUUUAUUACCGUCUCAAGU